rnacentral:rRNA from 1 species
UGAUUUCCUUCGGGACUGAUUAUUUUGUGACUGAGUGGCGGACGGGUGAGUAACGCGUGGGUAACCUGCCUUGUACAGGGGGAUAACAGUUGGAAACGGCUGCUAAUACCGCAUAAGCGCACGGCAUCGCAUGAUGCAGUGUGAAAAACUCCGGUGGUAUAAGAUGGACCCGCGUUGGAUUAGCUAGUUGGUGAGGUAACGGCCCACCAAGGCGACGAUCCAUAGCCGACCUGAGAGGGUGACCGGCCACAUUGGGACUGAGACACGGCCCAAACUCCUACGGGAGGCAGCAGUGGGGAAUAUUGCACAAUGGGCGAAAGCCUGAUGCAGCGACGCCGCGUGAGCGAAGAAGUAUUUCGGUAUGUAAAGCUCUAUCAGCAGGGAAGAUAAUGACGGUACCUGACUAAGAAGCACCGGCUAAAUACGUGCCAGCAGCCGCGGUAAUACGUAUGGUGCAAGCGUUAUCCGGAUUUACUGGGUGUAAAGGGAGCGCAGGCGGUGCGGCAAGUCUGAUGUGAAAGCCCGGGGCUCAACCCUGGUACUGCAUUGGAAACUGUCGUACUANAGUGUCGGAGGGGUAAGCGGAAUUCCUAGUGUAGCGGUGAAAUGCGU